rnacentral:SRP_RNA from 1 species
CACGCUGGCUGGAGGCUUCUCGACACUAUCUGCUCU